GACUCUGGGAUAACUGCGGGAAACUGUAGCUAAUACCGGAUACGACCUUGGAAGGCAUCUUCCGGGGUGGGAAGGUUUUCGGUCAAGGAUCAGCUCGCGGCCUAUCAGCUAGUUGGUGAGGUAACGGCUCACCAAGGCAACGACGGGUAGCCGGCCUGAGAGGGUGACCGGCCACACUGGGACUGAGACACGGCCCAGACCCCUACGGGAGGCAGCAGUGGGGAAUAUUGCACAAUGGGCGAAAGCCUGAUGCAGCAACGCCGCGUGAGGGACGAAGGCCUUCGGGUUGUAAACCUCUUUUAGUAGGGAAGAAGCGAAAGUGACGGUACCUGCAGAAAAAGCACCGGCUAACUACGUGCCAGCAGCCGCGGUAAUACGUAGGGUGCAAGCGUUGUCCGGAAUUAUUGGGCGUAAAGAGCUCGUAGGCGGUUUGUCGCGUCUGCUGUGAAAACCCGAGGCUCAACCUCGGGCCUGCAGUGGGUACGGGCAGACUAGAGUGCGGUAGGGGAGAAUGGAAUUCCUGGUGUAGCGGUGGAAUGCGCAGAUAUCAGGAGGAACACCAAUGGCGAAGGCAGUUCUCUGGGCCGUAACUGACGCUGAGGAGCGAAAGCGUGGGGAGCAAACAGGAUUAGAUACCCUGGUAGUCCACGCCGUAAACGUUGGGCGCUAGUUGUGGGGACCAUUCCACGGUCUCCGUGACGUAGCUAACGCAU
rnacentral:rRNA from 1 species